AAGCACCACUGUUGAUGUAGACCAAUUGUACAGAGCAGUCAGUGUUAGAGAGAUCAUUGUGUACAGGGUUGUAUGCGAGAUAAUUGGGCAAACCUUGAGCACGACUUCAUUUUACACUUUGGCCCCGAUAAAAUACGUUGAUAACAUGGUGGUGUUAUUUGCUUGUACGAUGUUUAUGUACUUUGAGAAAAGGUUGUGCGGUGUUGUUAAGAGGAUUCAUUUUAGUCCAUUAUACUCGAAUCGUC
rnacentral:sRNA from 1 species